UCAAACUUGGUCAUUUAGAGGAAGUAAAAGUCGUAACAAGGUUUCCGUAGGUGAACCUGCGGAAGGAUCAUUAACGAGGAAUCGAGGUUGCCCAUUCGGGCGCCUCUCCACCCACCCGUGUUUACUGUAAUUUUGUUGCUUCGGCGGGCCCGCCUGAACCCCUUGGGGGAUGGCCGCCGGGCGCCUGUGCGCCAUGGCCCGUGUCCGCCGGAGGAUCUCUUGAACUCUUGUGAUUAAUGUAUUGUCUGAGUGAUAACUAAAUUAGUUAAAACUUUCAACAAAGGAUCUCUUGGUUCUGGCAUCGAUGAAGAACGCAGC
rnacentral:misc_RNA from 1 species